UACAGAGGUCCCAAGCGUUGUUCGGAUUCACUGGGCGUAAAGGGUGCGUAGGUGGUCAGGUAAGUCCGAUGUGAAAUCUCCAGGCUCAACCUGGAAAUGGCAUUGGAUACUAUUGGCUUGAGGAGUGGAGGGGGGACUGGAAUUCUCGUGUAGCAGUGAAAUGCGUAGAUAUCGAGAGGAACACCAGUGGCGAAGGCGAGUCCUGGACACUUCCUGACACUGAGGCACGAAAGCUAGGGGAGCAAACAGG
rnacentral:rRNA from 1 species